UCUCUCCACAUUGUGCCGCUUUGCCGACGCAAUAGUCGCCCCGCAAAUAGGACACAUACAUUUAUCUUUCACUGUCGUGAAAAAGAACUCUUUCUCCCAGUCAUCGUGAAAAUAGCGUUUUCUCUUUCACUUUUAUUGUCAAGUUUUGGGGGUAAAAACCACAUCUAGCUUCCCAAAGUGUCUGCGCCCGGAAGCUUCAGCAGAAUGACGUGGUGGUUUGACAUGCGCAGUGAACUUUGACUCGGACAAAGUCAAAGUUCAUUUACACCGAAGACAUUUUUAUUUUUUUUUUUUUAAUUAUAAGAAAUAUUGUAAUUUAAAAUCUGCAUUAAUGUAAGUGUUUUUGAUUUUAAAAGAACAGCAACUAUAUUUUUUAAUAAGGAAUUUCAUGGUGACUAGUGUUAUUUUCAGAACAUGCGUUGUGGGCAACUCACAUGGUCUCUGCAGGCAACCAGGCGCCCGCGGGCACCGUGUUGGCUACCCCUGUGCUAGAACCCACUCUUCAGAUAUGUUUAAGAGGUGCAACAGAGGUGUGAGGGCUAAGCAUGAAUAUUUGUCAUGGCUUUGUGGCUGUGUAGCGUGUGAUUUGAAUCCGAAGCAUUACAGUAUGAAUGACUUCUGCUCAUAUCUUCUUGAAGGUGAUACAAAGAGCCUGUCUUGGCAGGCUCAUUUCAUAAGUUUUAUUCUAACUGUGUCAUGUAUUAAGAGGUGUAUUAGUCAAAAAUUUAUUUGGAUGAACUUAUUCUCACUGUCAACGCUGGUUUCUUAACCAAGAAGCUUAAAUUAGCUGAGUCUGGGAACUUGAAGCACAAAAAGUGUAAAUUUGUUAUCCACACAGUCCAUCGUAAAUAUUCAUAAGUUUGCAGAUGACUUUCCACUGUCCUAACUACUCACUGUAAUUGUGCACAUAUGGAUAUUGGUAUUAAACAUUUUAUAUGUGUUUACUUUUCCCUUAAAAGAAUAUUGAUUUAACAUAGCACCCUCUCUGACAUAUGACACUGGCAAACUCACAGACAGUUUAAAAUGUUUUCAAAGAUGGCCAAAAUUGAUGCAAUAGAAUGCAAGAUGUAUUGUGAUUUUUAUUCCACACAUUGUUCUACCCAGUCAGAGAUUCAGCUGCUACACUGGUAGCACUUAAUGCAGCCUGGAGCCUCUUGCCUAAAGCAGAGAUGAGCAGCAGGCAACAGAGGUUUGGUAAGCUCACUUCUUUUCAAUUCAGAAAAUUAAGUUUUCAUUUUCAAAUUUCGUCUUCAGGCCUAAGCAACACUUGAUGCAAUAGCUUAUCUAAUUAACACAUUUUGACUGCAUACAAGAGUAGCACUUCUGUAGCACACCUGUGAACAGACUUUAAUGUGUACAGUUGCUACAGUUCCCCUUUAAUAACUUUUGACAAUCUGUGUUAACUACUUGAUUGUUCCACUUUCUGAUGUAAUUGAAAGCUUCCAAACAGCUCCAGAGAAGCUCGUGGGAUAGGAUUACUUUUGUCGACUGCAGCUUCCCACUCAAGGAUAUACAUUUCACAAAUGAGAUCCAACUUAUAAUACAGUAGAAUUAGCGUCCAGACUCAAAGUUGAGGUGAAAUUUAAGUGUUGGCUUCUGUUAUAUAGUUUUUCUGAAAUGACUGUGGCAUUAAAAUUCAUAAUAGAAGGUUAAAGGGACUGCUUUUUAAUCCCCGAACCAUCCAAGUCUAUGUUUGGUCACAUUCUGAGCUUGAAAAGCCCCAUUUUAUCUGAUCUAGGUCACCCUUUGAAAACAAAACGCUGUUAGCAUUCAGAGGCAUAUGCUAACCUUGUUUUUCUAAUUUGCCAUCCCCUUAUCUAUGAAGAGAAGCUACAUGCCCAUUCAGUCAGAUACAUUCACAGCUGGGAGCUGCCCAGCACAGUCACAGUCCUCGGCUGUUAACCACAGAGCAGCAACACAAGGGCAAACUGGGGUUAAGUGCCUAUAUCAAGGGCAGUUUGAUGGUAUUCUUGGGGGAGGGAGAAAAACAUCCUCUUUCGCUUUCUCUGCUCAGAUUUUUCCCUGCUGCUCUGGGAUUUGUAGUAAAAACCAUCUAGCUAGAUGCCUGGUUAGGUUAGGUUAGGUUAGGUUAUCUUUAUUUUUUUUAAAAGGAGAAAUUUGUUCUGCAGCAAGAGUUCACAUAAUGACAAACAGCACAGGGAGAACAUAACAACAACCACAACAAAUCACAAAAACUGAUGCAGGAAAAUUUUAAUAUCAGGCCUUUGCAUGCAAGAUGUGUAACAGUGCAAAUGCGCCAGAGUAGUGAAAGGAACACAGUCAGAGCGCUAACUGCCAUUAAGAACAUCAAUAGCUCUUGGGAUAAAAGAGACAGAUGCCCUGAAACGACAGCCUGAAGGCAAUCGCUCAAACUCCCCAUGUAUUGGAUGGUCCUGGCAAUGUAAUAUAGGAUUAUCUUCCUAAGGACCUGUCUGUUGUAAAUGAAAAAGAGCUCCACCUGACUGCUCACUGAGAUCACUUUGUAAAAAAGAAAUUCCAAGUCUGUUAUUAUACUACAAAUUCAGAUUUCCAAACCAAGCAGUGAAAGGUUUAAACAGAUUCAAUGAAAUCAGCUCAGUGGAAUUGUUAAAAGAGUUAAUUUUUCUGAGGAACAGACCUUUAUAGAGGUAGCAUCAACACAGAAUUUAAAACAGCGCAAACACAUCCUACAGGAUUAGGAUUUGUUACACUUCCUGCUACCCAGCUGUCUCCUAGAUCAGUGGUGUAUAACCUCCAGUCAUCCACUGCUUCCUACGACAAUAACCAAUGUCCUACUUCUCCUCUCACUUGGCUCUAUGUGCCUCAUUCAGGACUUGCCAGUGGUUAUGAAGUCAGCCACAGAAACCUCCAGCGCACAGCCACCAUCUCUUGGCCCUCCACGCCUGACCAGCUGCCUUCUGGAAGGAGACUUGAAUUCAUCCUCUAAAGCUCAGAGAGAUCUGGGAGCCGGACGAGGUGGUCUGACCGAAGCUCCCUAAUGAGUCAAAGCUCCCCUGGACCUCACAGAUGAUAAAAGAGGCCCUCGUCCCAGAUUGUUCCCGUAACAUCAUCAUCUUUGGAUUGCCUCUGAAAGCUUCUCUCCGCUGGUGGCUCCUCGCAGUUUCCAGAGUGAUGGAUGGAUCUCGCCUCUGAUUGCUCCUUUUCAUAUUGUUCUCUGGCCACACAGGGCCGAUACCCCCUCAUUAAUAAACCUCAGUGAUUAAUUUUCAAACCUC